GAAAAGAGAAGCUUGUCAUAACUCUAGCACCCCUUAUUCUAUAUACAAUAGCAAGAGCUUCUUUAUAGGAUCAUGAUUUUCUUUGUCAAAUAAAACACAAUGUUCAUCAAAUUGAAAAGACAACAACCAACUAGAUGCAUAGCGAAAAGGUUUGAACCCACCACUGUUGUUUCUCAUUAUGCUUGUUGUCUAAAACAUUAGACCUGGCCAUCAACAACAGGUGAAACCAGGCUCUGAAUGUACACAUCUGC
rnacentral:lncRNA from 1 species